CGCCGAAAACGGUUUUCAAAUAUAUUAUAACAUCACUCGUAUCGUGUCGUUCGUUCGUUCAUCGCCGCAUAAACGAGGCGUACUCUUCGAGGAAUUAUUGCGUUUUCAGUCUGACAAGUACCUAUCGCACGUAGAACAACGGCACACUUGUACGGGCGCAAUAACACGGAAAACAAUCGCAGAAAUCAAAAAUCCUGGCAAUUUAAAACACACCUGAAUGCAGUGACUAGCAUGCAGCUGCAAGAAUAUUUAAAAACAAUUCAUCGGGUUCCAGAUUGGCUCUAAAGAUUUUCAAAUACUAAGAUAACGAAUACAAAUACAUAAUAAUAUUAUAAUAAAAUGUUCAUUUUUUCAA